rnacentral:rRNA from 1 species
AAUUCGAUUAGAGUUUGAUCCUGGCUCAGGACGAAUUGCUGGCGGCGUGCUUAACACAUGCAAGUCGAACGGAGAUUAUGGAUGAAGCUUGCGAUUCCAUAAUUUUAGUGGCGGACGGGUGAGUAACGCGUGGGCAACCUACCCAUAAGAGGGGGAUAACAGCUGGAAACGGCUGCUAAUACCGCAUACGCUGGUUAAGACGAUGUUUUGAUCAGGAAAGGUGGCCACUGAAAAUGCUACCGCUUAUGGAUGGACCCGCGUCCGAUUAGCUAGUUGGUAGGGUAAAAGCCUACCAAGGCGACGAUCAGUAGCCGGCCUGAGAGGGUGAACGGCCACACUGGGACUGAGACACGGCCCAGACUCCUACGGGAGGCAGCAGUGGGGAAUAUUGCGCAAUGGGGGAAACCCUGACGCAGCGACGCCGCGUGAGCGAAGAAGGCCUUAGGGUUGUAAAGCUCUGUUCUAUGGGACGAACGACUGGAGCAGUAACACGGCUUCAGAAUGACGGUUCCAUAGGAGGAAGCC